UAAAUACUUUGCCAAAAUUAGAUUUUUUCUUCCUGGUUUGGGAAUUUAAAACUUGUUGCACAUAUUUAGGAAAUAUAUAUAUAUAUAUAUAUAGCUGAAUCCAUGUCAUUGUCACAGAAAGUGUGACUCUGUUUUUUUAAUUUCUAGACGACUCGGUUUCCAUUACAGAUAAAUAUGCUAUUCAAUAUUCUUAGUAUAUUUUUAGAAAGAAAGAGAACUCAAAUAAUGUACUUUUAAAUUAAACAAAAAUGUAAGGAAUGCAAGUAUUGUAUAUGCAUGUAUAUGAUAUUAUUACUUUGGAAACAAUAAAAAAAAAUGUUUUGAUGUUGUUUGUCUUGUUUUAAAUAUAAUUUAAUUGAUUUUAUGGAUCUUUUAAUAAGUAUUCAUAUUUCAAUCAAUUUUUUCAAAAUCCCUACAUCAUUGUUAUCCAUUUCUAAGCUAAAGGUUAUGACUUCAACAUAUCAAAUACAUUGUUUUUUUUUUUUUUUUCAUUUUGUAAGGCUAAUUUAUCUUAUAGUUCUAAAAAGUAAAAAUUUAAUUCUUUAGUGAAUAGAUAAAAGUAGAUGAUAUUAAUGAUACUAUUACAUAAAUACAAA
rnacentral:lncRNA from 1 species